UUAACCAGGAAGAGUUUCCACAUCCAAUCAACUUCUUGUGUCCGUUGUGAAGAUGAACCUAAUGAGCACCUAAUGCAUCUAUUUUUCAGUUGUGAUUUCAGUCAAAACUUCUGGAUGAACAUAGGCUUCCAAUGGAAUAAAGAUUAUAAUCUCCUUCAAAUGUUGUUGGAGAGCAAGAAGAACAGUAACUGCAUAUGUUUCAAAGAAUGUUUGAUUGCAGGUUGUUGGAGUUUAUGGAAACACGGGAAUGGUAUCAUAUUUGAUCACAAGGAGAAAAGUAUGGCAUAUUGCAUAAGUUCCUUUAAAGAGCACUUUGGCAUGAUCAUCAAGAAAGCAAAACCUAGCUUGAAGGAAGGAAUGCAGAGUUGGCUAGACUAUUUGUAG
rnacentral:rRNA from 1 species